GCCCAAACCAACAAGCUUGCUUGUUGGGGUUGUAGGACUCCAAUAUGGUAGUCUGUUAGUAUAGUUGAAGGAUUUGGAAAAUUCCGCUAAAGAGGGUGAAAGCCCCGUAGACGAAAUGCUGACAACACCUAGGAGGAUCCUGAGUACGGCGGAACACGAGAAAUUCCGUCGGAAUCCGCGGGGACCAUCCCGCAAGGCUAAAUACUCCCUAGUGACCGAUAGUGAACCAGUACCGUGAGGGAAAGGUGAAAAGCACCCCGGAAGGGGAGUGAAAUAGAUCCUGAAACCGUGUGCCUACAACAAGUCAAAGCUCGUUAAUGAGUGAUGGCGUGCCUUUUGUAGAAUGAACCGGCGAGUUACGAUUGCAUGCGAGGUUAAGUCGAAGAGACGGAGCCGCAGCGAAAGCGAGUCUGAAUAGGGCGAAUGAGUAUGUAGUCGUAGACCCGAAACCAUGUGAUCUACCCAUGUCCAGGUUGAAGGUGCGGUAAAACGCACUGGAGGACCGAACCCACGUACGUUGAAAAGUGCGGGGAUGAGGUGUGGGUAGCGGAGAAAUUCCAAACGAACUUGGAGAUAGCUGGUUCUCUCCGAAAUAGCUUUAGGGCUAGCCUCGGAAUUGAGAAUGAUGGAGGUAGAGCACU
rnacentral:rRNA from 1 species